UAGGGAAUCUUCGGCAAUGGACGAAAGUCUGACCGAGCAACGCCGCGUGAGUGAAGAAGGUUUUCGGAUCGUAAAACUCUGUUGUUAGAGAAGAACAAGGACGUUAGUAACUGAACGUCCCCUGACGGUAUCUAACCAGAAAGCCACGGCUAACUACGUGCCAGCAGCCGCGGUAAUACGUAGGUGGCAAGCGUUGUCCGGAUUUAUUGGGCGUAAAGCGAGCGCAGGCGGUUUCUUAAGUCUGAUGUGAAAGCCCCCGGCUCAACCGGGGAGGGGCAUUGGAAAAUGGGAGACUUGAGUGCAGAAGAGGAGAGUGGAAUUCCAUGUGUAGCGGUGAAAUGCGUAGAUAUAGGGAGGAACACCAGUGGCGAAGGCGGCUCUCUGGUCUGUAACUGACGCUGAGGCUCGAAAGCGUGGGGAGCAAACAGG
rnacentral:rRNA from 1 species